rnacentral:lncRNA from 1 species
UGCCUUUGUUUUGUGAAAUGUUAGCCUGAUUUUAUUUGUUCACAGCACAAAAUUACGUCAAAGAGAGAUCAUAAAGCAAAUAUGUACUAAUUGGAUACUCAAAGGAAUAUUUUCAUUAACCUUCUUAACUACUUCAAGAAACAAAUAAAGACUUGGUCAUCCUAAACCUACAACUUCUCUUACAGUUAAUGAAAAAUGAAGCAUGUAGAAUAAUUCAUGUGAGUCAGAAGAUACAAAUAUGGGCAAAUCUUACCAACUUACAUAUUAACCACAUUACCGCCUCUAAUUGAAUCUACUAGAUUAUCAUAUGUGGAUAAUAAUUAGAAUAAAUUGGCAACAAAUGCAAUGAUAAUCAUGUAAUAUGUGAAUUUGGGCCAAUGCGAAAGAGGACUCAAACUAUUCCAUGCUAGACAAGAUGAAAUGACUGCCCAACUUGACAUUUCGCAAGCUGGGUAUGAUAGUUACAAAUAUGAGAAUGAGAAUCCAUGAAACUUCUCUUGAACUUAUUUCAAUGGAAACCAUCAGUCAUAAAAUGAUUAAAAUAUAGGCAUUAAAUUUAGUCCAUAUACAAGAUAAUCAAUCUAUGCCUUGAUGAACAUUAAAGCAUAUGGCCCUGCAGCUUUGUAUAUGUUUUUAUCAAAAGAACGAUUAUCAACCUUCAAAUGCGCGUAUUGAACCUAUAUCUUAUCACAUUACCUGUGGCUUGAAAGUUUCCAAAUUUUUUAUAUAAGGCUAAAGUUGAAACAUUCAUAAAACUACAGGUAUUCAAGAUACGCAAAGGAAUAAAAUAGAAAAGGGAAUACACUGCCCAAGGAAAUAAAAGCUGAAGUAGCGAAGCUAUUUGGUUUUUCUUCAAGGAACUAGCAAAUUACUUGAAUAAAUUAAAUGAAAAUCAAAAUUCGUAUGCACAAGUAAAAAUUUUAAUAAUCUUUCCUCUCCAUUUUAAUUUGUAUUAAUAAAAAAGCCUAUGUAGGAAUUGAACCCACACCUUUUGUUCUAUUGCACAAUGCUCUAACCAUUUGAGCUAAUAGGCUAAGACAAAUACAGGAUAAAUCCAUGAAAACAUAUUAUUGAUUGUCAAUGAUAAAUAGAUGAAAACAUUGUUCUUCUAACCAAUAGAAUAAAUUGACUGUAGAAAAAACCCAGCUCUAAAUUGCAAUAGUUCCAAUAGUCAAGUCAAAAGAUCAAAAGAUAAGGAAACAAAUGAUAUCUAUACAAAAUCAAGAAUAGUUAUAUUACUACCCACAAAUCUACUCUUACUUAUCAUAAUCUUAAUUAUCACAAUCUUACUUAUCAUAAUCACUUUUAUUAUUAUAAUUAUUAUGAAUAAUAUUGACACCAUUGUAUUGCCCAGAAAAAAAAAAAUAUUGAUACCAACAAGCUAGAAAAGAUAUACUGACUAUUGGAUAGCGAUAUUGAAAUUAAAAAUAAAAUAAAAUAAAGAUUUGUAAUUAUUUACCUCAAGUCCUCAACUGAUGAAGCUGUUCUUCUAUGAAUUAUGAGACCUCCCUAACCAGAACUGAACAUCACAUUCACAACAAACGAACUUUGAGCUGUAUUAGUAUUCUCCAAAAUCCUACGGAAACAUUCAUUGAAGCUGAUAAUAUAUUGUCGUUCUUUUGCGACAACAUAUCGACGUUGUUUUCCUGCUCUGCGAUAGUAUAUUGACGUUCGACAUCCAUUGAAGGUGAGGUUGGUACUGAAAAUAGAAAAAAAAUCGAAAUUGCGAGAGUCGAACUCAAACCUACUAAUUUUGUUACGAAUUGUUGCGGAAUUAGUCAAAAUUUUAGGAAGAAUUUUGUGGUUUUGAUGGCUUCUCUAUUCAAUUUCACCGUUCCCGUCGAUGCUUUGUAGACAAUUUUGGGCCACCAUGGAUCGCGAAAGGCUUUGGCGGUGGCAGUGUCGCUGACUGGAACAAGCGCCUACAGAUAGGCUACUUAACGUCUCUCUCUCAUCCCUUUCUUUUGUCCGUCACAUUCUUUUGUGUUAUAAUUAGCAAGUUAUAGAUCCUUUGUUAGCUAAAUGCAAAAUAGUGUGCAGAAGAGUUUCUCUUAAAGCUAAUGUUAUUGUAAAUAAUUUUUAAACAUAUUAUACAUCCGUGUAUAAAAUUUUA